ensembl:rRNA 5S_rRNA 5S ribosomal RNA
UCAUGGGCCAUUAUCUCCCUGAGUGCAUCAGAGAGAUCUCCACUGAUCUUGGAAGCUAAGCAGGAUUGGGCCUGGUUAGUGCAUGGAUAGGAGACCACAGAAGGACCAGAAAGCUCCCAGCC